GGCUCAGAACGAACGCUGGCGGCGUGGAUUAGGCAUGCAAGUCGUACGCGAAAGAGGGAGCAAUCCUUCGAGUAGAGUGGCGAACGGGUGAGUAACGCGUGAGAAACCUGCCUUCAUCAGGGGGAUAACACUCCCAACGGGGUGCUAAUACCGCAUGAGACCACGGGAUCGCAUGGUCCUGAGGUCAAAGGUGGCCUCUAUUUAUAAGCUACCGGAUGAAGAUGGUCUCGCGUCCCAUUAGCUAGUUGGCGGGGUAAUGGCCCACCAAGGCGACGAUGGGUAGCUGGUCUGAGAGGAUGGUCAGCCACACUGGGACUGAGAUACGGCCCAGACUCCUACGGGAGGCAGCAGUCGAGAGGCUUCGGCAAUGGGGGAAACCCUGACCGAGCGACGCCGCGUGGGGGAUGAAGGCCCUUGGGUUGUAAACCCCUUUUGUUCGGGAAGAAAUGCGAUCAGGUGAACAAUCUGGUCGUUUGACGGUACCGGACGAAUAAGCUCCGGCUAACUCCGUGCCAGCAGCCGCGGUAACACGGGGGGAGCAAGCGUUGUUCGGAAUCACUGGGCGUAAAGGGCGUGUAGGCGGUCAGGUAAGUGAGACGUGAAAUGCCUCGGCUCACCCGAGGAGCGGCGUCUCAUACUGCUUGGCUUGAGUACGGGAGAGGAUGUGGGAAUUCCUGGUGUAGCGGUGAAAUGCGUAGAUAUCAGGAGGAACACCGGUGGCGAAGGCGCACAUCUGGCCCGAUACUGACGCUGAGGCGCGAAAGCUAGGGGAGCAAACGGGAUUAGAUACCCCGGUAGUCCUAGCCGUAAACGGUGAUCACUAGGUGUUGGGGGCAUUGACCCCUCCAGUGCCGCAGCUAACGCAUUAAGUGAUCCGCCUGGGGAGUACGGCCGCAAGGUUGAAACU
rnacentral:rRNA from 1 species